rnacentral:rRNA from 1 species
AAACUUUCAGCAACGGAUCUCUUGGCUCUCGCAUCGAUGAAGAACGCAGCGAAAUGCGAUACGUAAUGUGAAUUGCAGAAUUCAGUGAAUCAUCGAAUCUUUGAACGCACCUUGCACUCUUGGGUAUUCCUGAGAGUAUGUCUGUUUGAGUGUCGUGA